rnacentral:lncRNA from 1 species
GAAUGGUUGGAACCAAUCCAAGGAGGAAUUGGUGGUGAUGUUGUUAAUGUGUGCUUUGACAUGUGGAGUAUCCUGAUAUAUUACCAACCAUUCAAUUUAUAUAGAGAUGAAUGGGAUGGGAGAGAGAAUGGUAGGAGGCCUUUGCCCUGUACUUUUGCUCUCAGGUGUGAAAGAUUAACCUCGUGAGUAGUAAGGUGAUAACCCCUACGUUUAUAACUCUACAGAGUAUAAAUAUUACUACGGGU